CCUAGAAUAGCCAACGUCGGUGUUCCUCGGAACUUAAUAGAGAAUCCACCGCGGCUUACCCGCGAAACGGAACUGCCCCCGCAACUGUAGGCGGUGAGCGAUGCUCAAUGACGCCACUGGACGCAUUUUGUCUGGGAAGGCGAGCUAGCCAUGACCCGUCAGUCAGGAGAACUGCCGACACAUGUUACUUAAU
rnacentral:ncRNA from 2 species